AUGUGUCCAUCUGUCCGCGUGUCCGGUGUCCGCGUGUCCCGGCUCAGUCCCGUGUCCGUGUGUCCAUAUGUCCAUCUGUCCGUGUGUCCGGUGUCCGCCCCCCCCCCCCCCCCCCCCCCCCCCCCCCCCCCCCCCCCCCCCCCCCCCCCCCCCCCCCCCCCCCCCCCCCCCCCCCCCCCCCCCCC
rnacentral:lncRNA from 12 species